rnacentral:rRNA from 1 species
GUGGUGGCGAUAGCAAGAAGGAUACACCUGUUCCCAUGCCGAACACAGAANGAGAGUAGUUGGUGGGAAACUGCCUGCGAGGGUAGGAAGCUGCCACG